UACAGAGGUCCCAAGCGUUGUUCGGAUUCACUGGGCGUAAAGGGUGCGUAGGUGGCAUGGUAAGUUUGAUGUGAAAUCUCCGGGCUUAACCCGGAAAUGGCAUUGAAUACUACUGUGCUGGAGGUUUGGAGGGGGGACUGGAAUUCUCGGUGUAGCAGUGAAAUGCGUAGAUAUCGAGAGGAACACCAGUGGCGAAGGCGAGUCCCUGGACCAACACUGACGCUGAGGAGCGAAAGCCAGGGGAGCAAACGGG
rnacentral:rRNA from 1 species